AGUAAUGCCUAGGAAUCUGCCUGGUAGUGGGGGACAACGUUUCGAAAGGAACGCUAAUACCGCAUACGUCCUACGGGAGAAAGCAGGGACCUUCGGGCCUUGCGCUAUCAGAUGAGCCUAGGUCGGAUUAGCUAGUUGGUGAGGUAAUGGCUCACCAAGGCGACGAUCCGUAACUGGUCUGAGAUGAUGAUCAGUCACACUGGAACUGAGACACGGUCCAG
rnacentral:rRNA from 1 species